rnacentral:lncRNA from 1 species
CUCUGCCCAUAUCUGUGCAAUCUUAGAGUUAAUUUUUAGGUUGGUUAGAAUAACAGAUGUAACCACCCAGACCUAGAAUUUUCUGUGGAAAUGUAUUUGAACAAUGAUUCUGUUUCUCUAAUGAUCAAGGGACUUUUAAGGUUUUCAAUUUUUAUCUUGGUUUUUUUUGGGGGGGGGGGUACUGAGGAUCGAACUCGGGUCCUUGCACUUGCGAGGCAACUUGGGGUAUUUUUGAUUAAUAUAUUUUUCUAGGACUUAGUCCACUUCACCUAAGUUUUCAAAUACAAACACACACACACACACACACACACACACAGUUGUGCAUAGUGUCUAAUUUAAAUAUUUAUUUUUGCAAUGAGGAAUAAUUUCCAACUACUGAAUGCACUGAUCUCAGAUGUCUGGUCAGGCAGUUCUGACAAAUGCACAUCUUCACGCAAUCCACACCCCCUCAGAGGCAGAGCACCCAUCUCUCUUUGUCCCUUUCCAGUCUCUAGCCCUGAGUGUCCUGUUCUGAUCCUGCCACCAUGGACUGGCGUUGCCCAUCCUCGCCAUUGUGUGCAUGGAAUUGGACAGUCUGUGCCUCUCAGUGUCUGGCUUCUCUUCAGGGAGCACAGCCUGUGGGCCAUGAUGAAUGCUCUGAAGCCAGUGCACUGACUCAUCUGAAGAGAAGCUGAUUGUCACUGAAUAAUUAAACAUCUCCCUUCCCCCAAACAUGAGUUUCAAGAGUGGGAGAAUCAUUUUUCAGGACUGAUGAGCACCGCGGGACUGAUGGCAUAGCCACUGGUCACCAGCAUAGGGGCACACAGACGAACUGGCUCUUUGUUCCACAACAUUCCUAAGGGGAAAGAGAUAAUGCAGCCCAGAAAGUACAUGGCCACAAAGAAACUCAUGAGCAGCAGCCUGGUCUGGGUGUCCUUUUGUACUAGAGGUGACUUUGAGAAAG